CACGUAGGGUGCGAGCGUUGUCCGGAAUUAUUGGGCGUAAAGAGCUCGUAGGCGGUGUGUCGCGUCGGCCGUGAAAACCUGCAGCUUAACUGUGGGCUUGCGGUCGAUACGGGCAUCACUGGAGUUCGGCAGGGGAGACUGGAAUUCCCGGUGUAGCGGUGGAAUGCGUAGAUAUCGGGAAGAACACCGGUGGCGAAGGCGGCCAACUGGACCACAACUGACGCUGAGGCGCGAAAGCGUGGGGAGCAAACAGG
rnacentral:rRNA from 1 species